AGCAGCCGCGGUAAUUCCAGCUCCAAUAGCGUAUAUUAAAGUUGUUGCAGUUAAAAAGCUCGUAGUUGAAUUUCGGGAUUAGUACGCUGGUCGUGCCUUCGGUACGUACUGGUGUUACUGAUUUCUACCUUCUGACGAACCAUCAUGUCAUUAAUUUGGUGUGGUGGGGAAUCAGGACUGUUACUUUGAAAAAAUUAGAGUGUUUAAAGCAGGCUCGCGCUUGAAUACAUUAGCAUGGAAUAAUGAAAUAGGACGUUGAUCCUAUUUUGUUGGUUUCUAGGAUUGACGUAAUGAUUAAUAGGGAUAGUUGGGGGCAUUAGUAUUCAAUUGUCAGAGGUGAAAUUCUUGGAUUUAUUGAAGACUAACUACUGCGAAAGCAUUUGCCAAGGAUGUUUUCAUUAAUCAAGAACGAAAGUUAGGGGAUCGAAGACGAUCAGAUACCGUCGUAGU
rnacentral:rRNA from 1 species